CAAUAGCGUAUAUUAAAGUUGUUGCGGUAAAAAAGCUCGUAGUUGGAUUUCUGUUGAGAGCGACCGGUCCAUACCAUGUAUGCGUAUCUGGCUUGCUCUCGGCAUCCUCUCGAUAGACGUUACUGCGCUUGAUUGCGUGGUGCGGAUCUCGGGACUUUUACUUUGAGGAAAUUAGAGUGUUCACGGCAGGCUUUCGCCAGAAUACAUUAGCAUGGAAUAAUACUAUAGGAUCUUGGUUCUAUUUUGUUGGUUUCUAGAAUUGAGAUAAUGAUUAAUAGGGACAAUUGGGGGCAUUCGUAUCAACACGUCAGAGGUGGAAUUCUUGGAUUGUGUUGCGACGAACUACUGCGAUAGCAUUUGCCAAGGAUGUUUUCAUUGA
rnacentral:rRNA from 1 species